UGUAUAUUAUUGAAGCAAUGUGACACUGUAACACUUAGGGAAGAAGACAAAAAUGAAUCAUAAUUCUAACAAAAUCUUGAUUAUAUUUUGGUAUAUAUUUCCUUUCAGUCUUUUUUCCCCGGUGCAUAUGUGUGUUGCAGUUUACCACAGGUGUAAUCAUAACCAUAUUAUACUUUUUUCAUUUUACAUUAUGUAUUUUUCCAUGUUAACUGUCUUUGUCAUUAUUAUCUGUUAUAGACAAUAGGCUAUUUCUAAGUUUCUCUUGUUAAAAGUAAUGCUGAAAGAACAGUUUCUAUCUGGGAUGUGCCAUUGGUGGAGACCAGGAAAACAAGCGGGCCUAUUCCAACUGUGAAACUCAGUUAAAACUUCUGCUUGGAGGUAGUCAGUGUCAUAUCUGCACACAUUUUAUUGGUCAAAGUGUGUCAUAGGGCCAAAGUCAAUGAAGUGGGGACGUACACUUCUCCCCCGUGACAAUGAGCAGGGAUGCUUCCUCCUAUUAUAAGGAGGGAGGGAAGAAUAGUUGGGAAUAAUAAUCCUAUCUACUACCUGG
rnacentral:lncRNA from 10 species